UCCAAAGAGAGGGACCAUUGUCCCUCAGGAAAGGUGCAGCACGUUUUGCGCUCCAUCCAUGGUAUGACUCAGCAGUUCAUGUGCCAGGGCCGCAGGCAGGGCAUUAGACAACAGGGGGACAUGGAGAAGCCAGUGGAGAUGAUGGAACAGCUGAUCAGACAGAACUGCAAACACACUAAUCUGGUGAGAGGACAGAAGAGAGCCGCCCCGUGUGUGACUUCCCAGAGAACGAAGGGAAAGAAGAAGAAGAGGA